GCAGGCUACUUCUGCUGACUGCCAGCUGCCUGCAACUUGGCAGUCCAAAUCUCACCAGGCUGAUGGUUGACUCAGCCUUCUAUCCUUCCGAGAUCAUCCUAAAUCAGUGGUGGGUUGCCCCCGGUUCGGACCCGUUCUAUAGAAAACAGUAAAACUGGCGGGAGGCUCCACCCACUGACCCCAACAUCAUCAGGAAGCUUCUGCGCAUGCGGCCCCAUUGAGAACCGGCAGUAAAGUUUAGGAGUAUUAGGCAUCCAGAAGAACUGUGGAUCUGCUUCCUGCCCUUUUCUGAAAUUGGAGUUUUGAUUUGGGAAAGAACUGAUAUAAUGGUUUCUACCAAGACCCAUUGUAUUCCCUAACAAACCAGUGUUAUUUAGCUCAGCAUCAAGGACCAAAUUGUUUUACAGAGGAAAAACUCACACUUUAAAAUUGGCAACAGAGGAGAAACAACAGAGACGAGGGAAGGUGACAGGCACAAAACUGACAAGAUAACAGAACGAACAGAGAUUGUAGACACAAUAAUGAUUAAGAUGAAAGUGUUUAAACUCUGUACUGUACUGUUAUUUUAUUUAUCCAGAUAUACACAAUUUCUAAUAAAGUGCUGAAUGAGCCUAUGA